UACGGAAGGCAGCAGUGGGGAAUAUUGCACAAUGGGCGCAAGCCUGAUGCAGCCAUGCCGCGUGUAUGAAGAAGGCCUUCGGGUUGUAAAGUACUUUCAGUCGUGAGGAAGGUGUUAAGGUUAAUAACCUUAGCAAUUGACGUUAGCGACAGAAGAAGCACCGGCUAACUCCGUGCCAGCAGCCGCGGUAAUACGGAGGGUGCGAGCGUUAAUCGGAAUUACUGGGCGUAAAGGGCACGCAGGCGGUUAAUUAAGUUGGAUGUGAAAUCCCCGGGCUUAACCUGGGAAUGGCAUUCAAGACUGGUUAGCUAGAGUCUUGUAGAGGGGGUUAGAAUUCCAUGUGUAGCGGUGAAAUGCGUAGAGAUGUGGAGGAAUACCGGUGGCGAAGGCGGCCCCUGGGACAAAGACUGACGCUCAUGUGCGAAAGCGUGGGGAGCAAACAGGAUUAGAUA
rnacentral:rRNA from 1 species